GGGAUUUGGAGCAGCUACACAUGCAGUCGAGCGGUAGCACAGAGAGCUUGCUCUCGGGUGACGAGCGGCGGACGGGUGAGUAAUGUCUGGGAAACUGCCUGAUGGAGGGGGAUAACUACUGGAAACGGUAGCUAAUACCGCAUAACGUCGCAAGACCAAAGAGGGGGACCUUCGGGCCUCUUGCCAUCAGAUGUGCCCAGAUGGGAUUAGCUAGUAGGUGGGGUAACGGCUCACCUAGGCGACGAUCCCUAGCUGGUCUGAGAGGAUGACCAGCCACACUGGAACUGAGACACGGUCCAGACUCCUACGGGAGGCAGCAGUGGGGAAUAUUGCACAAUGGGCGCAAGCCUGAUGCAGCCAUGCCGCGUGUAUGAAGAAGGCCUUCGGGUUGUAAAGUACUUUCAGCGGGGAGGAAGGUGUUGAGGUUAAUAACCUCAGCAAUUGACGUUACCCGCAGAAGAAGCACCGGCUAACUCCGUGCCAGCAGCCGCGGUAAUACGGAGGGUGCAAGCGUUAAUCGGAAUUACUGGGCGUAAAGCGCACGCAGGCGGUCUGUCAAGUCGGAUGUGAAAUCCCCGGGCUCAACCUGGGAACUGCAUUCGAAACUGGCAGGCUAGAGUCUUGUAGAGGGGGGUAGAAUUCCAGGUGUAGCGGUGAAAUGCGUAGAGAUCUGGAGGAAUACCGGUGGCGAAGGCGGCCCCCUGGACAAAGACUGACGCUCAGGUGCGAAAGCGUGGGGAGCAAACAGGAUUAGAUACCCUGGUAGUCCACGCCGUAACGAUGUCGACUUGGAGGUUGUGCCCUUGAGGCGUGGCUUCCGGAGCUAACGCGUUAAGUCGACCGCCUGGGGAGUACGGCCGCAAGGUUAAAACUCAAAUGAAUUGACAGGGGCCCGCACAAGCGGUGGAGCAUGUGGUUUAAUUCGAUGCAACGCGAAGAACCUUACCUACUCUUGACAUCCAGAGAACUUAGCAGAGAUGCAUUGGUGCCUUCGGGAACUCUGAGACAGUGCUGCAUGGCUGUCGUCAGCUCGUGUUGUGAAAUGUUGGGUUAAGUCCCGCAACGAGCGCAACCCUUAUCCCUUGUUGCCAGCGGUCCGGCCAG
rnacentral:rRNA from 1 species